rnacentral:rRNA from 1 species
AUUGAACGCUGGCGGCAUGCUUUACACAUGUAAGUCGAACGGCAGCGCGGGCUUCGGCCUGGCGGCGAGUGGCGAACGGGUGAGUAAUGCAUUGGAACGUGCCCAGUAGUGGGGGAUAGCCCGGCGAAAGCCGGAUUAAUACCGCAUACGACCUGAGGGUGAAAGCGGGGGACCGAAAGGCCUCGCGCUAUUGGAGCGGCCGAUGUCGGAUUAGCUAGUUGGUGGGGUAAAGGCUUACCAAGGCGACGAUCCGUAGCUGGUCUGAGAGGACGACCAGCCACACUGGGACUGAGACACGGCCCAGACUCCUACGGGAGGCAGCAGUGGGGAAUUUUGGACAAUGGGGGCAACCCUGAUCCAGCCAUGCCGCGUGCGGGAAGAAGGCCUUCGGGUUGUAAACCGCUUUUGUUCGGGAAGAAAUCCUCUGGGCUAAUACCCCGGGGGGAUGACGGUACCGGAAGAAUAAGCACCGGCUAACUACGUG